ACUGCUCAGUAACACGUGGAUAACCUGCCCUUGGGUCCGGCAUAACCCCGGGAAACUGGGGAUAAUUCCGGAUAACGCACAUAUGCUGGAAUGCUUUAUGCGUAAAAUGGAUUCGUCUGCCCAAGGAUGGGUCUGCGGCCUAUCAGGUAGUAGUGGGUGUAAUGUACCUACUAGCCGACAACGGGUACGGGUUGUGAGAGCAAGAGCCCGGAGAUGGAUUCUGAGACAUGAAUCCAGGCCCUACGGGGCGCAGCAGGCGCGAAAACUUUACAAUGCGGGAAACCGUGAUAAGGGGACACCGAGUGUCAGCAUCAUAUGCUGGCUGUCCAGGUGUGUAAAAUACACCUGUUAGCAAGGGCCGGGCAAGACCGGUGCCAGCCGUUGUGGUAACACCGGCGGCCCGAGUGGUGAUCGUGAUUAUUGGGUCUAAAGGGUCCGUAGCCGGUUUGGUCAGUCCUCCGGGAAAUCUGAUAGCUUAACUAUUAGGCUUUCGGGGGAUACUGCCAGACUUGGAACCGGGAGAGGUAAGAGGUACUACAGGGGUAGGAGUGAAAUCUUGUAAUCCCUGUGGGACCACCUGUGGCGAAGGCGUCUUACCAGAACGGGUUCGACGGUGAGGGACGAAAGCUGGGGGUACGAACCGGAUUAGAUACCCGGGUAGUCCCAGCCGUAAACGAUGCUCGCUAGGUGUCAGGCAUGGCGUGACCGUGUCUGGUGCCGCAGGGAAGCCGUGAAGCGAGCCACCUGGGAAGUAUGGCCGUAAGGCUGAAACUUAAAGGAAUUGGCGGGGGAGCAC
rnacentral:rRNA from 1 species